CGUUUCAGACACUUGUGUAAAUUUUAGAGAAGUUCGACAUGGGCGAAAAUUUGGUGUAUAGAAGAAGGCCGAAUCCAAAUCUCAAGCAAAAUCGACAAAAUGUUGCUCUAAUCUAAUCGAAAUCCAUUCCGGAUGCUAAUUUCCUUGCGAUUGAUUCAUGACAUUGGCAUCUUCCUAGUAUCCGAUCCACACCAAUUCCUAAAACGUCAGAAGGGGCAGCCAUGGGAGUACAUUCAGCUUCCUCCAUUGACGGAGGAGGAGGUUACCGAGAUGCCGAAUCUCUGUUUCGAACGAAACCCAUUUCUGAAAUUCGGGAGGUGGAAUCCUCCACCCGUGCGCAGAUCCAGUCCAAGCAAGAGGAGCUACGGCAACUCGUCGGUAACCGUUACCGAGAUCUGAUCGACUCCGCCGACUCCAUUGUUCUCAUGAAGUCGACUUCCCAUUCAAUUUCAUCUAAUCUCUCUUCCAUUCACCUUUCUAUCCGUUCACUUUCAUCUUCGGACUCGCACACGCAUCUUCCUUCUAAUAAUCAUGUUCGUGUUACCCUUUACGCCAUUGCUUGUCGGGUUAAGUAUCUUGUCGAUACUCCUGAGAAUAUUUGGGGUUGCCUCGAUGAGUCCAUGUUUCUCGAAGCCGCUGUUCGUCAUCUUCGAGCGAAGCAUGUGCAGCAAGCUUUGACGACCCACAAUGCCGAUUCGGACCGUAAGUUUCUCUCCAAUUUUCCUCUGCUUCAGCACCAUUGGCAGAUAGUGGAGAGCUUCAAAUCUCAGAUUUCGCAGCGUAGCCGUGAAAGACUACUCGAUCGUGGACUUGGGGUUGGAGCUUAUGCGGAUGCUUUGGCUGCUGUCGCCGUUAUUGAUGAGCUUGAGCCGAAGCAAAUACUCAGUUUGUUUCUCGAUUCGAGGAAGUCUUGGAUUUCUCAAAAAUUAGGUACGUGCGGGAGCAAUGCAACUUGCUCUAUUGUUGUAUCCGUGUUCUGCGAGGUUUUAGCUAUAAUUCAGGUUAGUAUAGGACAGGUCGGUGAGUUAUUUUUGCAAGUUCUGAAUGAUAUGCCAUUGUUUUACAAAGUUAUAUUGAGUUCUCCACCUGCAUCACAAUUGUUUGGCGGAAUUCCCAAUCCGGAUGAGGAAGUUAGGCUCUGGAAGUUAUUUAGGGAUACGUUAGAGUCAGUCAUGGUCAUGCUUGAGAAAGAUUACAUUGCCAAGACCAUGUCGAGUUGGCUAAGAGAAUGUGGAAGAGAGAUCGUUAGCCAGAUCAAUGGAUGGUUUUUGAUCGAUGCCAUUGGAAGUGGCCAGGACCUUGCUUCUGCUGAGAAAUUAAUUAGAGAGACAAUGGAAAGUAAGGAAGUCUUGGAAGGAAGUUUGGAUUGGUUGAGAAGUGUUUUUGGAUCUGAAAUCGAGUUGCCGUGGAGUAGAAUGAGGGAACUUGUUUUGGAAGAUGACUCAGACCUCUGGGAUGACAUAUUUGAAGACGCAUUUGCUUGCAGGAUGAGAACUAUUAUUGACUCAAGGUUCAUGGAAAUGAUUAACGUAGUUAAUAUUUCCGAAUCGGUUCAUCUACCUGAUGAUGUUUCAAGUAAUAAUGGGUACAUGAAUAGACCCUCUACAGGUGGUGGGGUUUGGUUUAUAGAAUUUAAUCCUAAGAAAGCCUGUCCAACUGUGGGAGCAAAAGCAUCUGUAGAGGAGAGUGAUUUUAGUAAUUGUAUCAAUGCUUAUUUUGGUCCAGAAGUCAGUCGAAUCAGAGAUGCAUUUGAAAGCUGUUGUCAGAAUGUGCUUAAGGAUCUUCUAUGUUUCAUAGAAUCUCCGAAGGCAUCAAUAAGGUUAAAAGACCUAGCACCUUAUUUACAGAAUAAGUGUUAUGAAAGCAUGUCAACCAUACUGUUGGAACUAGAAAAAGAGAUUGAUAAUCUAUGUAGUAAUAUGGAAAAUAGUAGGGCUGCUAGUCAGCCUGUUAACCUUGCUCCACUUGUUGAGAGAUCAAUUUUCAUUGGUCGGCUCCUAUUUGCAUUUCAAAAUCACUUGAAGCAUGUUCGUGUCAUCCUUGGUUCACCAAAAUCUUGGGUAAAUGACUCAUCAUCCUCUGUGUUUGAUAAGCAUUCUUUAUUACUGCGACAAUCCAAAAGUCUUCCCAAUUCUCCUCUAAAUGUUAAUUCCCCUGGAAGACAGAUGUCAAAUGAUUCUAGAAGGCAAACAUCACUAGCCACAGCUGCGUUGCUUAGAACUAAAGAAAGUGCAAACCCAAAACUUGAAGAACUGAAUAGGAUUACUCAUGAUCUUUCUGUGAGGUCUCAUAGCUUGUGGAUGUCAUGGUUAUGUAAUGAGCUUUCUGCCAUUUUCUCUAGAGAUCUUGUCCAAGAUGAUGCCCUACUGUCAACAACUCCCUUGAGGGGCUGGGAAGAGACAGUAAUCAAGCAAGAACAAACUGCUGAAGGUCAACCAGAUAUGAAAAUUGCUCUUCCAUCAAUGCCUUCUCUUUAUAUAAUUUCCUUUUUGUUCCGCGCAUGUGAAGAAAUUCACAGAAUUGGAGGUCAUGUUCUUCAGAAGAUAGUUAUUCGAAAAUUUGCAACAACCCUACUGGAAAAGGUUAUAGGUAUCUAUGGGGACUUCAUUUCAUCUAUGGAAGUUGGCGGGCCUCAAUUGUCAGAAAAAGGUGUACUGCAGGUUCUGUUAGAUAUUAGGUUCACUGCUGAUAUUUUAUGUGGGGCUCAUUCUAAUAUGAGUGAAGAGUUGUCCAAAAACCCGAGGGCAAAGUAUGCCCUCAGAAGGAAGCAGAAUAUAAGUGAGGAAAAAUCAGUUAUUGGAGACCGUGUGAAUGCAUUAACAGAUCAUCUUUCGAAAAGGAUUGAUCCAAUUGACUGGCAAACGUAUGAGCCAUAUCUCUGGGAAAAUGAAAGACAGACAUAUCUUCGACAUGCUGUCCUUUUUGGAUUGUUUGUGCAGCUAAAUAGGAUUUACACAGAUACUGUUCAGAAAUUGCCAAGUAAUUCAGAGUCCAAUAUCAUGAGGUGCCUUACAGUUCCUCGUUUUAAAUAUCUUCCCAUCAGUGCUCCAGUCUUGUCUUCAAAAGGAGGAAUGAAGGCGGCUGUUCCAACACCUUCAGAUGACAUCUCCUCAAGGAACUCCUGGAAAGCUUUUACAAACGGAGAGCUUCCUCAGAAAUUAGAUUUGAAUGAUAACUCCAGUUUUGGGGUAGCAGCACCGUUAUUUAAAUCUUUCAUGCAGGUUGGAAGCAGAUUUGGAGAGAGCACCCUAAAACUUGGGUCCAUGUUGACCGAUGGCCAAGUUGGCAUAUUUAAAGAUAGAUCAGCAGCUGCGAUGUCUACAUUUGGUGAUAUUCUACCUGCACAAGCUGCAGGUCUUCUUUCUUCCUUCGCUGCUUCCAGAUCAGAUUAUUGAUGUUCCUUCUAGAUACAUAAUUUUGAUUGACCACUAAAAAGAAAUGAGCGUUCACGGGCAUCAAAGAAAAUACAUGCAAGUUCAAGUUAUGAAGGAUACUAACUCCAGAAUCUGGAUGAGCCAUUGUGACUCUACAGCAUAUGGACGAGUUUUUUUUUUUCGUGAUAGGGAAUCAAACUGCAACAGACCAUCGACAGAGGCGAAUCGAAGGCAGAAGUAUACUAGGAAGUGAGAGGCAAAUUACAGGUACCAAGUCUCCAGCAAGAUUUUCCGAGUUAUAUUUUUCAGUGUUCUCUUACAAAUAAGUGCAUUGGAUAAGAUUGUUCGAUCAUUCACGAACAUAAAUUGCCAAAGAUCAAUUAUAUAUGGGACCAAAGAAUAAUAUAUAUCGGGGGGGUGGAAUACUUUGAAAUUUGUAUGUACAUGCAAAAUUUUCUCUGGCAGUUCACAAAGGCAAGGCUUUUACGUUUGGAUUGGAAGGUGAAGGGCGUUGUUGGUUGGACUGUGGUUCAUUAUUUGUUUGGUUUCAUGCCAUUUGUAUAGGCCAUCAGAGUUAAAAGGGAAAGGGGAAAUUGAGCUUUUCUCACUCGUAACAUACCCGUCCGUACUAUCAUAAAGGGUAAAGGGUAUCCUCCAACGCUCGCACACAACAAUGCUUGAGGUCCCAACCUUUUUCCAUUUUCAUUAUCAUUUAAUACAAUCUCGUUAACGUUUCGU